AAUCUCAGAAAUCUCUGAAUCGGCGUCAGAUACCCUGCAAGAGACGUGAUCAACAUCAUGAAGUCAGUACUGCUUUUGGCAUUGUUCUUUGCGCUGACCCUUGCUGUCUGUGCCACUGAUGAUCAUGUGCGCGUGGCUCGCGACUCAAACUUCAACGGCAAUGAGCAGAUCACUUUGCCCGAGAUCACCAGAGGCCAGUUCAUGCAGCUCCUGAAGUUCCUGACAGGCCUGCUGAACAAUGCUCCAGCUCCAGCCGUUGGCUAACUCAGGGGUCAGACGACCUCCAGAUCAACUAAGUCCCAGAUGCCAUCAGAAAGACACUUGGUGGUCGCAUUGGUGUUUUGUUUAUUCUGACAAUGCGGGGUAUAAUGACAUGUAUUGACAUAACAAUAAAAAACAAACUUUCACUCACAGUAAA